GCUUCCGUAGCUCAAUUGGUUAAGAGCAACGCACGGAUUGCGGAGGUUGCGGGUUCAAGUCCUGCCGGAAGCG